AAAUCGACUCGGUUGAAUUAAAAAUGAAAAACCUCAAGAGAUGGCAGUGAAAGAUGUCCAAAUCAAUCAACAGUGGACAACAACUAAAAACUUUGUUUUGUGUUGUUUUAUCAUAUAAGAAAACUUGAACAAUGAAAAGAUACACAAAAAAUUGAUCCAGAAUUGGGACAACAAUUAGAAACUUUCAAACAAUUGCCAGCGGCCCGGUUUUGAGAACCUUCCCGCCUUUUGUGUCUAGCCACGCGCCUUUCAUAAACCCUGGCAAAAAUCUCAGAGAGCACUCAGAGCAGCACCAUUAACGUUUUACGUAUCCAUUACUCUGUCCGAGAUUUCAAAACGCUCAAUAAAAACCCUCGUCAUCCGUCGAGGCCGGCAUUGGCUGCUGGGACCUCCGCACCGGUGCCGAGCAGCUCUGCUACAAUCUCUGCGCCCCUCCGCCUCACGGCCGUGGUCCAAGCCGCAAGUUGAUGUCAAGAGUUCCCAGAAGAACUGAUCAAUUCGCUCGCUGCGAACAGCGAAGGCACGUCGGGGAAUAUCUACUUGUGGAAGGUUAAUACUGGUAGACUGCUUAAGAAAUGGCAUGCUCACGACAGAGGUGUUAGUUGCUUGGUAUUUUUGGAUGAUGGCUCCCUGCCGAUUUCAGGGUUGGAGGAUGGAGGCAUUAGAGUUUGGUCUCUUAUAGGAUUAUCAAAGUGAAUUAGAAAGCCAUCUUUAUGGAGCACACUCUUUGUGUAACGGAUGUUGGCGCAGGAUAUGGUGGAUGCAAAGCCAUUAUUGUGUCAGCAUUUCAGGAUCGCACGUGUAAGAUUAGAAGAUGGCGUGGUUCGAGUUUGGGAUGCUAGAACUCAUAAUAUUCUUCGCGUGUUCAAAAAUGCAAAAGGUCCAGUGAAUAAUAUUCUAGUCGUUCGACAACUUUUUUUUGAGAAAUAUAUUGAAGACCUCAAACAAUUGCAAUAUACUACACACACACGCUUUUGAUGUGCCUAUGUCCAGACGAUCUUCAUUCUGCCGGAAAGUAAAGGAAAAGACGAUUCUGAUGAAAUCUGUAAUGCAGUAGCCAACCACCGGUUCUAGUAAUGCAUGCAGCUUUGUCUCCCUUUCCAUCUCACUUCCUCUCCUGCGUUCAUUAGCAGCACUGGCAACAGUCAGGCACAUUGUUGUACACCCUCUAACUGCUAGUAGCUAAAUCACACAACUGGAGGUCUGCAAAAUUUUGUGACCAUAAACUGUUACUUUCUUGCAUAUAAUUUCCGGUUUAAAGUUGCUUAUAGUCUCAAAUCCAGAGAUUUUAAAAAUAAAAUAAAACUAGAGCAUUGCAAAUCA